rnacentral:rRNA from 1 species
UGGGGAAUAUUGGACAAUGGGGGCAACCCUGAUCCAGCAAUGCCGCGUGUGUGAAGAAGGCCUUCGGGUUGUAAAGCACUUUCACUCGCGAAGAUGAUGACGGUAGCGAGAGAAGAAGCCCCGGCUAACUCCGUGCCAGCAGCCGCGGUAAUACGGAGGGGGCUAGCGUUGUUCGGAAUUACUGGGCGUAAAGGGCGUGUAGGCGGCUUCGACAGUCAGGCGUGAAAGCCCCGGGCUUAACCUGGGAACUGCGCUUGAUACUUCGAGGCUAGAGUUCGGGAGAGGAGAGUGGAAUUCCCAGUGUAGAGGUGAAAUUCGUAGAUAUUGGGAAGAACACCAGUGGCGAAGGCGGCUCUCUGGACCGAUACUGACGCUGAGGCGCGAAAGCGUGGGGAGCAAACA